UACGUAGGUGGCAAGCGUUAUCCGGAAUUAUUGGGCGUAAGAGCGCGCAGGUGGUUGAUUAAGUCUGAUGUGAAAGCCCACGGCUUAACCGUGGAGGGUCAUUGGAAACUGGUGAACUUGAGUGCAGAAGAGGGAAGUGGAAUUCCAUGUGUAGCGGUGAAAUGCGUAGAGAUAUGGAGGAACACCAGUGGCGAAGGCGGCUUCCUGGUCUGUAACUGACACUGAGGCGCGAAAGCGUGGGGAGCAAACAGG
rnacentral:rRNA from 1 species